rnacentral:rRNA from 1 species
GCGCAGUAAACGAUGGAUGCUCGCGGUUUGGCCCUUGCGGCUGAACCGCCAAGCGAAAGCGUUAAGCAUCCCACCUGGGGAGUACGCCGGCAACGGUGAAACUCAAAGGAAUUGACGGGGGCCCGCACAAGCGGAGGAACAUGUGGUUUAAUUCGAUGAUACGCGAGGAACCUUACCCGGGCUUGAAAUGUACCUGACAGGACUCAGAGACGAGUCCCUCCUUCGGGCAGGUAUGUAGGUGCUGCAUGGUUGUCGUCAGCUCGUGCCGUGAGGUGUCGGCUUAAGUGCCAUAACGAGCGCAACCCUUCCCGCCGGUUACCAUCAUUCAGUUGGGGACUCCGGCGGCACUGCCACCGCAAGGUGCGAGGAAGGCGGGGAUGACGUCAAAUCAGCACGGCCCUUACGUCCGGGGCCACACACGUGUUACAAUGGGGGGCACAGAGAGCUGGCGCGUGGCGACACGCGUCGAAUCAAUAAAUCCCCUCCCAGUUCGGACUGGAGUCUGCAACCCGACUCCACGAAGCUGGAUUCGCUAGUAAUCGCGCAUCAGCCAUGGCGCGGUGAAUACGUUCCCGGGCCUUGUACACACCGCCCGUCAAGCCAUGAAAGUCGGGGGCGCCUGAAGCCCGUUGCCUAAAGGCGCGGUCUAGGGCGAUACCGGUGAUUGGGGCU